GAUGAACGCUGGCGGCGUGCCUAAUACAUGCAAGUCGAGCGAACAGACGAGGAGCUUGCUCCUCUGACGUUAGCGGCGGACGGGUGUGUAACACGUGGAUAACCUACCUAUAAGACUGGGAUAACUUCGGGAAACCGGAGCUAAUACCGGAUAAUAUAUUGAACCGCAUGGUUCAAUAGUGAAAGACGGUUUUGCUGUCACUUAUAGAUGGAUCCGCGCCGCAUUAGCUAGUUGGUAAGGUAACGGCUUACCAAGGCAACGAUGCGUAGCCGACCUGAGAGGGUGAUCGGCCACACUGGAACUGAGACACGGUCCAGACUCCUACGGGAGGCAGCAGUAGGGAAUCUUCCGCAAUGGGCGAAAGCCUGACGGAGCAACGCCGCGUGAGUGAUGAAGGUCUUCGGAUCGUAAAACUCUGUUAUUAGGGAAGAACAAGUGUGUAAGUAACUAUGCACGUCUUGACGGUACCUAAUCAGAAAGCCACGGCUAACUACGUG
rnacentral:rRNA from 1 species